rnacentral:tRNA from 3 species
UGGGCUAUAGCCAAGCGGUAAGGCAACUGGUUUUGAUCCAGUCAUGCGCAGGUUCGAAUCCUGCUAGCCCAGCCA